UACGUAGGGUGCAAGGCGUUGUCCGGAAUUAUUGGGCGUAAAAGAGCUCGUAGGCGGUCUGUCACGUCGGCUGUGAAAACCCGGGGCUCAACCCCGGGCCUGCAGUCGAUACGGGCAGACUAGAGUUCGGCAGGGGAGACUGGAAUUCCUGGUGUAGCGGUGAAAUGCGCAGAUAUCAGGAGGAACACCGGUGGCGAAGGCGGGUCUCUGGGCCGAUACCGUCGCUGAGGAGCGAAAGCGUGGGGAGCGAACAGG
rnacentral:rRNA from 1 species